rnacentral:rRNA from 1 species
UACGAAGGGGGCUAGCGUUAUUCGGAAUUAUUGGGCGUAAAGGGCGCGUAGGCGGCUUUUCAAGUGACGGGUGAAAUCCCUCGGCUUAACCGAGGAACUGCCUGUCAGACUGGAAGGCUUGAGACCGGGAGAGGUGAGUGGAAUUCCCAGUGUAGCGGUGAAAUGCGUAGAUAUUGGGAGGAACACCAGUGGCGAAGGCGGCUCACUGGACCGGAACUGACGCUGAGGCGCGAAGGCGUGGGGAGCAAACAGG